AUGGCGGCGUCCGCUCCUCCGAACUGGUCCAGCCUCCUGCCGGAUCUACUGGGCCAGGUGAUCGCCCGCCUCCCGCACAUCGCCGACCGCGCCCGCUUCCGCGCCGUCUGCCGCUCGUGGCAUUCGGCCGUGCGCCUGCACGUCUCCCCUCAGCGGCGCCUCCCGUCGGUCGUCCUUCUCGACGGCACCUUCCUGACGCUCUCAGACGGCGGCAUCCACCGCGCGCCCUUCGGCAAGAACACCGAGUGCGUUGGCUCAACCGGCGACUGGAUCGCCCUCGACUGUAAGGACGAGGCCACGCAGACGCACACAUAUAGGCUGCACAACCACUUUUCCGGCGCAACCGUCCCGCUCCCAGAGCUGGACUCCAUCAUCGGCUAUGUUCCGCAGGAUUUCCAGAUCCGCAAGGUGGUCAUGCGGUCGACACCCCAAGACCUUGUCGCCGUCACGUGUAAUACAUGGAAGUACCCUCUGAUUCUAUGCCGACCCGGGAAAGGAGUCUGGGUACCGAGGCUAUUAGCCAUGCCAUACUUCCGUAUCUGUGACAUUCUAUUUUCAGGAGACAAGCUCUAUGUGAUCACUAAGGCCGAGGACCUUUUUGCCCUUCACCUUGCUGAGGACGACGAUGGCAAGCCCACUGUUAAGAAUGUCAAACGAAUCAUCAGGCAUGCCCCAGGCCACGAGGACGAUAUGUAUGACGUCGGCAUGUGGAAGAGGUUGACCGACAUCGAUUCGUCAAGUGACGAGGACUCUGAGGAAGACUCGGAUGAUGAGGCAUUGUGUGAAGAGGACAAUAACGAAGUGUUAAGUCAAGAAGAUGCUCACAAUGAACUGGUCGGUGAUGAUAGUGACACUGACGAUGACAGAAAACACUUAGCUUUCAUGGAAGAGGAUACUUUUUCUGAAUGUGAAGACGGUGUGAGAGAAGGGUGGGACGCCGUCCACACCAGCCGGCACCUUGUCAGGAUACAAGGUAAACUACUCAUGAUUAAGCGAGAACGACUAAUUGCAGCCUUGACUCCAACUCACCACACUCGCAAGGUCGAAGUGUUUGAGGCGGACAUGGAUGCAUGUGCAUGGAUACCCACGAGCAGUAGGUUGGGUGACGGCCAGGCAAUAUUCAUCAGCUAUCGCUUCACCAACAUAGUUCCUGCUUGCGGAGAAGUGGAAGAGGAUGUCAUUUAUUUUCCCGACACUAAUGACGUAUUUAACAUCAAGUCCAAGACAAUUAGACUGUUAAUGCACAUGAACCCGUUACAUGACCGGUGGAGGGCGACGUGGGUUUUCCCACCUAACCUAGUUGUCUAA
rnacentral:rRNA from 1 species